ACUCCUACGGGAGGCAGCAGUGGGGAAUCUUAGACAAUGGGCGAAAGCCUGAUCUAGCGAUGCCGCGUGAGUGACGAAGGCCUUAGGUCGUAAAGCUCUUUCGCCAGGGAUGAUAAUGACAGUACCUGGUAAAGAAACCCCGGCUAACUCCGUGCCAGCAGCCGCGGUAAUACGGAGGGGUUAGCGUUGUUCGGAAUUACUGGGGCGUAAAGCGCACGUAGGCGGAUUGGAAAGUUGGGGUGAAAUCCCGGGGCUCAACCCCGGAACUGCCUCCAAACUAUCAGUCUAGAGUUCGAGAGAGGUGAGUGGAAUUCCGAGUGUAGAGGUGAAAUUCGUAGAUAUUCGGAGGAACACCAGUGGCGAAGGCGGCUCACUGGCUCGAUACUGACGCUGAGGUGCGAAAGUGUGGGGAGCAAACAGGAUUAGAUACCCUGGUAGGAUAGCG
rnacentral:rRNA from 1 species